rnacentral:lncRNA from 1 species
UUUCUUAUUCACUUUCUUGUUUCUCGACUCCGCCUUUAACUUCUUUUUCUUUUUGGGACUCAAUUGUUAUGAUGUUACUGUAAUUUUUUUUGUUCUCUUUCACUUAAACUUUUUUUUUCUUUUCAAAUUGUGUCUCCCCUUCUCACAAUUGAGAUUUGAUGAAGAAUAAAUAUUUGAUUUUUUUCUAUUUUUGUUAUGGGAAUGUUUUGAAUAUGAGUAAUGAAGAGAAUGAUAUGUGUGCUGAUGGAAAAUAUUUUUUUGGAACUCUUUUGUAAUAUUCUAAAUACCAAACUUUUUUAUAAUAAUAACAUCCUAAUCUAAUAUAAUUAAAUAAAAUCCUAAUAAUAAACAAUAUAUUCUAAUCCUAAUACA